UGUCCAAUGCGGGAAUCGAACCCGGGUCCUAGUGGUCGAAAACCAAACUGUUUACCAGCCUUCCACCGACCUCCCUGGUAGAC
rnacentral:tRNA from 1 species